rnacentral:rRNA from 1 species
UACGGGGGAGCAAGCGUUGUUCGGAUUUACUGGGCGUAAAGGGCGCGUAGGCGGUCGUGACAAGUCACUUGUGAAAUCUCCGGGCUUAACUCGGAACGGUCAAGUGAUACUGUCGGACUAGAGUACAGAAGGGGCAACUGGAAUUCUCGGUGUAGCGGUGAAAUGCGUAGAUAUCGAGAGGAACACCUGCGGCGAAGGCGGGUUGCUGGGCCGACACUGACGCUGAUGCGCGAAAGCCAGGGGAGCGAACGGG